GCAAGUCGGAUGCGAAUCACCUUUUCGGAGGUGUAGUAGCAUGGCAGACGGGUGAGGAACGCGUAUCUGACCUGACUCUUGGUGGGGGAUAGUCCUGCGAAAGCGGGCAUAAUACCGCAUACGUCCGUCGUUGUAGAGACGAUGGGGAAAGCCGGCCUCUAGGUUAUGCCGGUGCUGGAGGGGGGGAUGCGUCCUAUUAGCUAGUUGGUGGGGUAAUGGCCUACCAAGGCUUCGAUGGGUAGCUGGUCUGAGAGGAUGAUC
rnacentral:rRNA from 1 species